rnacentral:rRNA from 1 species
CUACGUGCCAGCAGCCGCGGUAAUACGUAGGUCCCGAGCGUUGUCCGGAUUUAUUGGGCGUAAAGCGAGCGCAGGCGGUUAGAUAAGUCUGAAGUUAAAGGCUGUGGCUUAACCAUAGUACGCUUUGGAAACUGUUUAACUUGAGUGCAAGAGGGGAGAGUGGAAUUCCAUGUGUAGCGGUGAAAUGCGUAGAUAUAUGGAGGAACACCGGUGGCGAAAGCGGCUCUCUGGCUUGUAACUGACGCUGAGGCUCGAAAGCGUGGGGAGCAAACAGGAUUAGAUACUCUGGUAGUCCACGCCGUAAACGAUGAGUGCUAGGUGUUAGACCCUUUCCGGGGUUUAGUGCCGUAGCUAACGCAUUAAGCACUCCGCCUGGGGAGUACGACCGCAAGGUUGAAACUCAAAGGAAUUGACGGGGGCCCGCACAAGCGGUGGAGCAUGUGGUUUAAUUCGAAGCAACGCGAAGAACCUUACCAGGUCUUGACAUCCCUCUGACCGCUCUAGAGAUAGAGCUUUCUUCGGGACAGAGG